rnacentral:rRNA from 1 species
UUACACAUGCAAGUCGAACGGAAAGGCCCCUUCGGGGGUACUCGAGUGGCGAACGGGUGAGUAACACGUGGGUAAUCUGCCCUGCACUUCGGGAUAAGCCUGGGAAACUGGGUCUAAUACCGGAUAGGACCUAGAGGCGCAUGCCUUGUGGUGGAAAGCUUUUGCGGUGUGGGAUGGGCCCGCGGCCUAUCAGCUUGUUGGUGGGGUGACGGCCUACCAAGGCGACGACGGGUAGCCGGCCUGAGAGGGUGUCCGGCCACACUGGGACUGAGAUACGGCCCAGACUCCUACGGGAGGCAGCAGUGGGGAAUAUUGCACAAUGGGCGCAAGCCUGAUGCAGCGACGCCGCGUGGGGGAUGACGGCCUUCGGGUUGUAAACCUCUUUCACCAUCGACGAAGGUCCGGGUUUUCUCGGAUUGACGGUAGGUGGAGAAGAAGCACCGGCCAACUACGUGCCAGCAGCCGCGGUAAUACGUAGGGUGCGAGCGUUGUCCGGAAUUACUGGGCGUAAAGAGCUCGUAGGUGGUUUGUCGCGUUGUUCGUGAAAUCUCACGGCUUAACUGUGAGCGUGCGGGCGAUACGGGCAGACUGGAGUACUGCAGGGGAGU